GCCAUGAGGUGAGGGCGAGCUGGUCUCCAUCAGGCGCUGACGCGUGUCGACAAGGGACUGUCGGUCUUGGGACCGCAGCUGGGGUUGGGGGAGAUGAAAUGGAGGCCGCCCUAAAGCGGCCGGUCCCGGGGUUUGGGGUAGGCCGGAGCACUUUCGUCCCGGGCCUCCGGAGUGAGGGGGGGCGGGGAGCGUCGCAGCAACUGAGACCAGGAAAAGUCUGCCCCGGCUGGUGCCGCACCGCACACGUGUCCGGUCGACCCACGCGAGCAGAGCAAACGGAGCGAACAAGACCAAGCCGUGGGCCCUUUCUUGCUUGGCACACCCGGAGCGGAGCCGAUCUCUGCUUUCACGUGAUGUAGGGCAAGCCUAGUGUAGGCCCCAGGCCUCCGACUGCCGAGAGAGGUAAGCGGAAGGGUACAGCCAAUGCCCGAAUGCCAGAGAAGGUCACAUGGAUGAGGAGAAUGAGGAUUUUGCGCCGGCUGCUCAGAAGAUACCGUGAAUCUAAGAAGAUCGAUCGCCACAUUGACCAGGCUGAGGCCCGCAGGUCUAAGACCAAGGAAGCACGCAAGCGCCGUGAAGAGCGCCUCCAGGCCAAGAAGGAGGAGAUCAUCAAGACUUUAUCCAAGGAGGAAGAGACCAAGAAAUAAAACCUCCCACUUUGUCUGUACAUACUGGCCUCUGUGAUUACAUAGAUCAGCCAUUAAAAUAAAACAAGCCUUAAUCUGC
rnacentral:lncRNA from 1 species